UACGUAGGGUGCGAGCGUUGUCCGGAAUUAUUGGGCGUAAAGGGCUCGUAGGCGGUUUGUCGCGUCGGGAGUGAAAAUCCAGGGCUUAACUCUGGACUGGCUUCCGAUACGGGCAGACUAGAGGUAUGCAGGGGAGAACGGAAUUCCUGGUGUAGCGGUGAAAUGCGCAGAUAUCAGGAGGAACACCGGUGGCGAAGGCGGUUCUCUGGGCAUGUCCUGACGCUGAGGAGCGAAAGUGUGGGGAGCGAACAGG
rnacentral:rRNA from 1 species